rnacentral:piRNA from 1 species
UGACUGAUGUGAGGUGGAAUCUUAGAGU